rfam:Triticum aestivum genome assembly, contig: Triticum_aestivum_CS42_TGACv1_scaffold_644555_T_1BL-0.120727_3DS-0.085251
GCACAGGUGAGCUCCUCUUGUUCCGUAUGACCUUGUACAUCAGCUGCUUCUCUCCUGCUGCAUCUGUCCAUCCUUGUACGUAUGAUAAGCUACGUGGCUUGGUCUGUGAUGGAAAUACUCAUUUGCACUGCUUUUAUUCAGCUUUGUGUUUGAUUUUAAAUGGGUCUCUGUUGAAU